AAACGUUUCCCAAGGAAAAGUGACGUUGAUAAAGAAACCAAAAUGGUUACAAUGACUGUUAAGGAAAAAGAGAAAGGAAAAAUUGGUAACCUCGUUAAUGAUUUUCAACAAGAGAUGGACAAAUGUUCCGAGCACCUGUUUAACAGUCAAAAUCAGUACGAAUCUAUCAGGAAACUGAAAAUGAAACUAACCAAAAGAGAUCUCAUUUGUCACAUCGAUUUUUCUGAAAACUAUUCAUGUAAAUACAAUGAAGAAAUCCAAAGCAUUUACUUCGGGGCAUCACAGCGUCAGGUUUCCCUUCACACCGGGGUCCUUUACACAGAAAAUGCAAUCCAAAGCUUUUGUUCUUUGUCGGAUAACCUUAAGCACGGACCUGUCGGGAUAUGAGCACACCUUAAGCCCGUUUUGAAAUUUGCAAAAGACAAAUAUCCUGAAAUCCAGAACUUGUACUUUGUAAGUGACGGCCAAACCACCCAGUACAUGUGCAAGGAUAACUUUUAUCUGCUCAGCACACUUCCAUUUGAGGAAGGCUUCAAAUGCGUUAACUGGUCGUUCAUGGAAGCUGGCCACGGAAAAGGUGCCCCUGAUGAGAUUGGGGCAGUAAUCAAAAGAGCUGCUGAUGGGGUCGUGCUGCAUGGCGAGGACAUUGUAAACGCAGUAUCUAUGUAUGACACACUUACUAAGAAGAGCAUUGCUCCGCACCUGUUUCUUAUAACGGAUGGCCAGUUUGAGGAACAAAAAAAACUGCACCUAAAGAUUUACAGGCGGUAAAUGGCACCAUGAAAAUUCACCAGAUAUUUAAUAGAGAGCCAGGUCAGUUCAAGUUUAGAGAUGUCAGCUGUUUCUGUAGUUUUUCCGGUGAUUGUGACUGUUUUACUCCAAAACAUCACAUGUUUCCUAUCAAUGAACAGAGGGCGACAGGUGAUCCAUCUGAUACAGUUGCAUCGGCAGACAGCGGAGAGGUUUAGGACUCGCGAGGAUCUAUACACAGAUUUGAACAUUUCGACGAGACACUGAAGGGCACGUACUGUGUUGUAACUUAUGAUGGAAAACCAUUCCCUGGAAUAGUUCAGGACGUUGAUGAUAAUGAGGCUUAUGAUGGAAAACCAUACCCUGGAAUAGUUCAGGACGUUGAUGAUAAUGAGGCUUAUGAUGGAAAACCAUACCCUGGAAUAGUUCAGGACGUUGAUGAUAAUGAGGUAGAAGUCAGCGUUAUGCACUGCAUUGGUCCCAACCGAUUCUUCUGGCCGCGGAUGCAGGAUGUGUUGUGGUACCCAAGUGACCAGUAUAUAACCCAAAUUCCACCACCAUCCAAUAUUGGAAGUCUGCAUCAACAAAUUGAGCCAGCCAAAUGAGAACAAAUAAAAGACGCUCUGAACUUGUAAAACAUAUAAAGGAUAUUAAAUGAGUGUGCUCUGGACUUGUAAAACAUAUAGAGGAUAUUGAAUGAGUGCAAGUUUCAUAGACAAUUAAUUGAGUGAGUUUAAUAAAAUCAUAUUAUGCGAGCCUCUGGCUAGCAAAAUAUUAUUUUAUUAAACGAGUUCAAUAAAUUUAGUAUAAAACUUAUUUAAAACGAAUUUAAUGUUCUAAAACAUUUGUUCAUGAUUAUAAAAUACAUUUAUAAGUUCUUAUUUGUUUGUUAAAAAUAGUUGUUUGUUCUUUUGUUUGAGACUUAAAAUAGCGGAAUACAGAAUGCACAUUUUAUUUUAAAUUGUUUUAAACAAACAUAGUAAACAUUUAUGAUGUAAAACUAUUGACCGACAAUAUAAUAUCGGACAUAGAAGAUAUUACAUGAUUGUCUUUUGAUAUUGAAUUUAUUAAACGAGUUGGAUACAAUGAUAAAUUAAGAGGCUCUACCGAGCAUUUUAUCGUUUUAUUGGAUGAGUUUAUUAAAUUCAAUGUCAUAGAAUAAGAUCUGUUUUAUCAAUAAAAAGAUAGAAGCUAGCGUCUAUUAAUUAGAUUUUCAUACAUCUUUGCAGUGGAGUUCUUGGAUAAUAUUCGAUUGGGCUUCAUUAACGUAUUUUAACUCCUUUAAAGGCAUGCUUCAUGCAUGUUCACUACCGUAACAACCGGUCACUACCGUAACAUUAACUUCACUACCGUAAGAGCAUCAUUUUCCCUUAAUAGUGACAAAUGAUGCAUACAACACCUCGAAAAGUAAUUGACUUCAAUAAACAAAGUCAUAUGUAAGUAUAAGCCAAAGUAUGACAUGUGCUUUGAAAUAUAUGGAAUUUUUAAGAAAAUUAUAAAGACAGACUUUUUCACCAAUUUUACAUUGCUGUCAUUAAAUGGUAAGAAUUUCCAUUUUUAAUAAUAAUCUGGUUGAAUAUAAGGUAAAGAUAAAAACUACUUAAGACGUUUAUUCAACUGAAUCAAACAUCAAUAUGAAAAAAAUUAUUAUUGCAAA